UGGCUUAAUGGGUAAAAGCACUUGCUUUCCAAGCAUGAGGACCUGAGUUUGAAUCUCCAG
rnacentral:tRNA from 1 species